GGGGUUGUGCCUCAGCAGCAGGGCUCUCGCCUAGCACGUGAGAGGCCUUGGGUUCGAACCUCAGCACCACA
rnacentral:tRNA from 1 species